GAGUGUGGGGGGGACCUCCAGCCCCCCGGGGGGUCCCUGACUCUGCUCUGCCGCGCCUCCGGAUUUGAUUUCGGGCGUUCCUCCAUGGUCUGGGUUCGCCAGAGCCCCGGGAAUGUGCUGGAACACGUGGCAAGGAUUGACUAUGAUGGAGACACCUACUACGCGCCGUCAGUCAAGGACCGGUUCACGAUCUCCAGGGACAACGGGCAGAGCUCGGUGACGCUGACCAUGAACAGCCUCAAGGACGAGGAUUCCGCCAUUUAUUUCUGUGCCAAGAGUCCUGAUGGUGGUUAUGGUGUUGCUGACCGUGUUGACGGUUUCUGGCCUGUCCCCAUCGUGACCCGACCCUUGAAGGAUGGUGGGUACCGGGUGUAG